GGUAGCCGGCCUGAGAGGGUGACCGGCCACACUGGGACUGAGACACGGCCCAGACUCCUACGGGAGGCAGCAGUGGGGAAUAUUGCACAAUGGGCGCAAGCCUGAUGCAGCAACGCCGCGUGGGGGAUGACGGCCUUCGGGUUGUAAACCUCUUUUAGUAAGGAAGAAGGGGAGCUUGCUCCUUGACGGUACUUGCAGAAAAAGGACCGGCUAACUACGUGCCAGCAGCCGCGGUAAUACGUAGGGUCCGAGCGUUGUCCGGAAUUAUUGGGCGUAAAGAGCUCGUAGGCGGUUUGUCGCGUCUGCUGUGAAAUCCCGAGGCUCAACCUCGGGUCUGCAGUGGGUACGGGCAGACUGGAGUGCGGUAGGGGAGAAUGGAAUUCCUGGUGUAGCGGUGGAAUGCGCAGAUAUCAGGAGGAACACCGAUGGCGAAGGCAGUUCUCUGGGCCGUAACUGACGCUGAGGAGCGAAAGCGUGGGGAGCGAACAGGAUUAGAUACCCUGGUAGUCCACGCCGUAAACGUUGGGCGCUAGAUGUGGGGACCUUUCCACGGUUUCCGUGUCGUAGCUAACGCAUUAAGCGCCCCGCCUGGGGAGUACGGCCGCAAGGCUAAAACUCAAAGGAAUUGACGGGGGCCCGCACAAGCGGCGGAGCAUGCGGAUUAAUUCGAUGCAACGCGAAGAACCUUACCAAGGCUUGACAUAUACGAGAACACCGUAGAAAUACGGGACUCUUUGGACACUCGUAUACAGGUGGUGCAUGGUUGUCGUCAGCUCGUGUCGUGAGAUGUUGGGUUAAGUCCCGCAACGAGCGCAACCCUCGUCGCAUGUUGCCAGCACGUCAUGGUGGGAACUCAUGUGAGACUGCCGGGGUCAACUCGGAGGAAGGUGGGGAUGACGUCAAAUCAUCAUGCCCCUUAUGUCUUGGGCUUCACGCAUGCUACAAUGGCCGGGUACAAAGGGCUGCGAUGUCGUAGGCGGAGCGAAUCCCAAAAAGCCCGGUCUCAGUCGAUGGAGUCUGCACUCGACUCAGGAGUCGAAGUCGCUAGUAUCGCAGAUCAGAACUCACUAGUGAAAUUCCGCG
rnacentral:rRNA from 1 species